rnacentral:rRNA from 1 species
ACCUACGGGGGGCAGCAAUUAGGAGUCUUGCGCAAUGGGCGAAAGCCUGACGCAGCGACGCCGCGUGAAGGAUGAAGGCCUUCGGGUUGUAAACUUCUUUUGUCAGGGAAGAAGGAAGUGACGGUACCUGGCGAAUAAGCCCCGGCUAACUACGUGCCAGCAGCCGCGGUAAUACGUAGGGGGCGAGCGUUGUCCGAAUUUACUGGGCGUAAAGCGCGCGUAGGCGGAUUUUUAAGUCGGUGGUGAAAUCUCAGGGCUCAACCCUGAAACUGCCGCCGAAACUGGGAGUCUUGAGGUAUGGAGAGGGAAGUGGAAUUCCUGGUGUAGCGGUGAAAUGCGUAGAUAUCAGGAGGAACACCCGUGGCGAAGGCGGCUUCCUGGCCAUAUCCUGACGCUGAGGUGCGAAAGCCAGGGGAGCGAACGGGAUUAGAAACCCUAGUAGUCCU